GAUUGAACGCUGGCGGUAUGCUUAACACAUGCAAGUCGAACGGAAACGAUACUAGCUUGCUAGUAGGCGUCGAGUGGCGGACGGGUGAGUAACGCGUAGGAAUCUGCCUGAUAGUGGGGGAUAGCCCGAAGAAAUUCGGAUUAAUACCGCAUAAUCUAUUCGUAGUAAAGUGGGGGACUUUCGAGCCUCACGCUAUCAGAUGAGCCUGCGUAAGAUUAGCUUGUUGGUAGGGUAAAAGCCUACCAAGGCGACGAUCUUUAGCUGGUCUGAGAGGAUGAUCAGCCACAUCGGGACUGAGACACGGCCCGAACUCCUACGGGAGGCAGCAGUGGGGAAUAUUGGACAAUGGGGGCAACCCUGAUCCAGCAAUACCGCGUGUGUGAAGAAGGCCUGAGGGUUGUAAAGCACUUUCAAUUGUGAAGAAAAGUUAGCGGUUAAUAACCGUUAGCCUUGACGUUAACUUUAGAAGAAGCACCGGCUAACUCCGUGCCAGCAGCCGCGGUAAUACGGAGGGUGCAAGCGUUAAUCGGAAUUACUGGGCGUAAAGCGUGCGUAGGCGGUUUAUUAAGUCAGAUGUGAAAGCCCCGGGCUUAACCUGGGAACUGCAUUUGAAACUGGUCAACUAGAGUAUGGUAGAGGAAAGUGGAAUUUCUGGUGUAGCGGUGAAAUGCGUAGAUAUCAGAAGGGAACAUCAAUGGCGAAGGCAGCUUUCUGGACCAAUACUGACGCUGAGGUACGAAAGCGUGGGUAGCAAACAGGAUUAGAUACCCUGGUAGUCCACGCCGUAAACGAUGAUAACUAGCCGUUGGGGGGAUUUACCCUUUAGUGGCGAAGCUAACGCGUUAAGUUAUCCGCCUGGGGAGUACGGCCGCAAGGUUAAAACUCAAAGGAAUUGACGGGGACCCGCACAAGCGGUGGAGCAUGUGGUUUAAUUCGAUGCAACGCGAAGAACCUUACCUGGUCUUGACAUCCUGCGAACUUUCUAGAAAUAGAUUGGUGCCUUCGGGAACGCAGUGACAGGUGCUGCAUGGCUGUCGUCAGCUCGUGUCGUGAGAUGUUGGGUUAAGUCCCGUAACGAGCGCAACCCCUAUCCUUAUUUGCCAGCACAUCAUGGUGGGAACUAUAAGGAGACUGCCGGUGAUAAACCGGAGGAAGGCGGGGACGACGUCAAGUCAUCAUGGCCCUUACGACCAGGGCUACACACGUGCUACAAUGGGAAGGACAAAGAGCCGCGAAGCCGCGAGGUGUAGCUAAUCUCAUAAACCUUUUCGUAGUCCGGAUUGGAGUCUGCAACUCGACUCCAUGAAGUCGGAAUCGCUAGUAAUCGUAGAUCAGAAUGCUACGGUGAAUACGUUCCCGGGUCUUGUACACACCGCC
rnacentral:rRNA from 1 species